ensembl:lncRNA
GUCGUGCGGAGACACCAGUGAAGACGUAUUGUGAAACAGGACCGCGGCGCCGUCCUGAUCAGGAAUCCCUCAGGGAUGGGACGCCGGAAAAGCCAUGUCGGACUUUAUGGACCGCGUGGUGACGACGGGACACUGUGUGUACCGAUGACUGAACAGCGUAAGCAGAAGCAGAGGAUCGGACUCCUCGGACAUCCCCAACACAUGAAUGUGAACCCUCAACAGCCUGCCUGAGUGCGUGCGUGCGUGUGUGCGUGUGUGUGUGUGCGUGUGUGUGUGUGUGUGUAGGUGAGCUUCAGCACAGGCCUUGAACUGCCACGCUCCACAGCUGCACUUAGAAGUAGACCUGCGAAACUCCUUCCAGACUUUAUGCACACUCAUCUAAUCUAAAUAAGGGGAUGUCCUUAAACAGACACCAGUUUGCGCCCCUCCGUCCCUCGGUCAGUUUGGGUGCCAAACGUUCCGCGACGGCAGUAAUUAACAUGGGGGACACUUGAAUUCGGGGCUACACUGGACAGUAUGACUAGUUAUAGAUGCUGCUUGGAGAAGUGUUAAAGAGGCAUCUUUUUGUAUUCCUAACCGGUAAUAGCAAGCAGUAUUUUCUGUCUUAUUUUUGUAUUUUGUGCAAUAUUACCACUUUAAUAUGCAAACCCGUCGAGCUGUACGACGCGUCUUAAAGAGACCACGGUCGUCUCUGGUGUUAAACGCUUGUUCACCUCGCCCGCCCUUUUCUCUCGCAGCUUCGUGACUCGUAGCCGUAGACUCGUAGCGUCAAGCUCGUAGAGUCGGCCUGGCGAGAGUUCUAACGUCCGACAGCUUCUUUUCUUUUCUUAUUUAUUCAUUUAUUUAUAUCAGAAAUGUAAUGGAUAACAUUUAAAAGGGACCGACUACGCCAUGGCACAAACUUUUCUAUAGGAAAGUCCUUAAACAAUUUUUACUUAUAUAAAUUUUUUUUUUUUUUUUUUUUUGCUUCGUCUCGUCUUUCGCCUGUUCUGGAAAUAAAUAAAAGCCCAUUAGCCUUUUUUUAAAUUUUAUUUAUUUAUUAAAAAAAAUUUUUGUGCUUCGUCUCGUCUUUCGCCUGUUCUGAAAAUUAAUAAAAGCCCAUUAACCUUUUUUUUUUUUUUUUUUUUUUUUUUUUUUUUGAGACGGUAAAAAUGAUAAGAUUUAAUGCGUUUAAUCUGUUUAGACCGGUAAGCUUUGUUGCAGUGUUUUUAAUUCUAAGCGGCUUUAGUAUCUAGAGUAUCUAGAUCUAGUAUCUAGCCUCUGAGCUCGCGCGAGUUCUGCGUCGAGAGACACUGAGAGGCCCGGGGAAAGAACGAGAGAGACUCCUUCCUCGGCGCCCGGGCGAGUCAUUCUGUAAACACGGCACGACGUGAUAAUCUCUACCGGAGACAGUGAACGCUCAGAACGAUACUUGCACUACCACGUCUUACAGACCUGCCGUGUCUCUCCGUCGCCGCGUCUUUACUUCCAGUUUUCAGUAAAGGAUGUGUAUGAGAUUGUCGAGCCUUCGCUUUGUAUAGAGAUACUUUCUUCUUUUUUUUUUUCUUCUUUCUUUCUUUCUUUCCCUAGAGGCAUAAUAGAAUUUAAUAGCACUGUUAAUGAAAAUGAUAUGAAGUUUAAUUCUAAUUUAACAUAUGUCAAGAUUGUACAUUGAUUUAGCAAUAUUUAAUAAAUCCUCGAAUUCACCUUGAAA